rnacentral:rRNA from 1 species
UACGUAGGGUGCGAGCGUUGUCCGGAAUUAUUGGGCGUAAAGGGCUCGUAGGCGGUUUGUCGCGUCGGGAGUGAAAACACCGGGCUUAACUCGGUGCUUGCUUUCGAUACGGGCAGACUAGAGGCAUGCAGGGGAGAACGGAAUUCCUGGUGUAGCGGUGAAAUGCGCAGAUAUCAGGAGGAACACCGGUGGCGAAGGCGGGUCUCUGGGCCGAUACUGACGCUGAGGCGCGAAAGCGUGGGGAGCGAACAGG